AAAAUGACUCUCGGCAAUGGAUAUCUCGGCUCUCGCAUCGAUAAAGAGCGCAGCGAAAUGCGAUACGUGGUGCGAAUUGCAGAAUCCCGCGAACCAUCGAGUCUUUGAACGCAAGUUGCGCCCGAGGCCAACCGGCCAAGGGCACGUCUGCCUGGGCGUCAAGC
rnacentral:rRNA from 1 species